rnacentral:tRNA from 1 species
GGAAGGAUGACCGAGUGGUUGAAGGUGGCAGUCUUGAAAACUGCUGUAUCGCAAGAUACCGUGGGUUCGAAUCCCACUCCUUCCG